UACGGAGGAUGCAAGCGUUGUCCGGAUUUAUUGGGUUUAAAGGGUGCGUAGGCGGUCUUAUAAGUCAGUGGUUAAAUUACCUUGCUUAACGAGGGAGAUGCCAUUGAUACUGUUGGACUUGAAUACUGUUUGGGUAGGCGGAAUUGGUAGUGUAGCGGUGAAAUGCUUAGAUAUUACCAGGAACACCGAUAGCGAAGGCAGCUUACUGAAGAGAUAUUGACGCUGAGGCACGAAAGUGCGGGUAUCAAACAGG
rnacentral:rRNA from 1 species